rnacentral:tRNA from 1 species
GCGGAAGUGGCUCAGUGGUAGAGCGUUACCUUGCCAAGGUAAAUGUCGCGAGUUCGACCCUCGUCUUCCGCUCCA